rnacentral:rRNA from 1 species
GAUGAACGCUGGCGGCGUGCCUAAUACAUGCAAGUCGAGCGAAGAGGGGACGGGGGAGUAACACGUGGAAAACCUCCUCUAAGACUGGGAUAACUUUGGGAAACCGGCGCUAAACCGAAUACAUAUCGAUGGCUCCGCGCUGCAUUAGCUAGUUGGUAAGGUAACGGCUUACCAAGGCAACGAUGCAUAGCCGACCUGAGAGGGUGAUCGGUCACAGUGGAACUGAGACACGGUCCAGACUCCUACGGGAGGCAGCAGUAGGGAAUCUUCCGCAAUGGGCGAAAGCCUGACGGAGCAACGCCGCGUGAGUGAUGAAGGUCUUAGGAUCGUAAAGCUCUGUUGUUAGAGAAGCGGUAUCUAACCAGAAAGCCACGGCUAACUCCGUGCCAGCCGCCGCGGUAAUUC